GACGAACGCUGGCGGCGUGCCUAAUACAUGCAAGUCGAGCGGACAGAAGGGAGCUUGCUCCCGGAAGUCAGCGGCGGACGGGUGAGUAACACGUGGGCAACCUGCCCUGCAGAUUGGGAUAACUCCGGGAAACCGGGGCUAAUACCGAAUAACAUUGGAAACCUCAUGGUUUCCUUUUAAAAGGCGGCUUCGGCUGUCACUGCAGGAGGGGCCCGCGGCGCAUUAGCUAGUUGGUGAGGUAACGGCUCACCAAGGCGACGAUGCGUAGCCGACCUGAGAGGGUGAUCGGCCACACUGGGACUGAGACACGGCCCAGACUCCUACGGGAGGCAGCAGUAGGGAAUCUUCCGCAAUGGACGAAAGUCUGACGGAGCAACGCCGCGUGAGUGAAGAAGGUUUUCGGAUCGUAAAACUCUGUUGUCAGGGAAGAACAAGUACGGUAGUAACUGCCCGUACCUUGACGGUACCUGGCCAGAAAGCCACGGCUAACCACGUGCCAGCCGCCGCAGUAAGAC
rnacentral:rRNA from 1 species